rnacentral:lncRNA from 1 species
UUAGGUUACUAAAUUUGGGCAAUUAUAUUAAAUUAAUGCGAAACAACCGUUUUGUACUAAUAGCUUAAGUUUUUGAAAAAGAAUAACUGUGGUAUAUAAUUUAACAUAAUAUCAGAUACGGAGAUUAUGAAUUCGCGUCCCAUCUAGUUUUUUGCAUCAUUAAUUUUCUCUCGCUUAAUUCAAAUACACGUCUUAAAUAUAUCAAAACAUUUUGAGUUCGAACGUAAGGUACGGUAUUGAAUAUAAGUAUUAAGAAUGCUAUUUUAUGAUAGCUUAACUUUUGAAGAUAAACGACUGUCU